rnacentral:misc_RNA from 1 species
GUUCGUUUAAGUCGAUCUGUUGAACUGUUAACAACACAACUCCUGAAUAUUAUGUUUUGGACGAAAAGUUUUAUUAAUUUAAUGUUUUUGUAUAUUGUAUUCUGUCCAUGAGCGUAACAGAGACAGACAGAGAGAAAGGGACAGAUACUGAGAUACGGGGCCCUCAGGCAGAGAAAGGGCGAAAGCAAGCUACAAGCGGGUGCGAGCGAGAGCGCGCGCUUGCCUCACGCAUAUAUAUAUAAAUCUGUACAUACAUAUAGUAUCAGAAAAAAGACUAAAGCCGCUAUUCGAAUAACGAAAACUGGCGAAAACUUCGACGAUUUGUCUCGUACCUAUCUAUGUACCUCACAACCACUUCGUCAUCAAAUACGUAUAAGUCAGAUCUUUUCCAGCUUGUGAGUGCAGCAACAAAGAGGAAGGCCACUUUUUUUAAGGGGACCAACUAUUCCAAUCUCAUCCUGUAAGAGAUUAGCUGCCAAAUUGAUAAUGUCAGUCGCUAUAGCGGAUGAACCCUUAAUUGACUUGGAAGAGGAUUUAGAGGAUGGCGAGAUCGACGACGAUGAGGAAGACGAGCAGCAAUCUUCAAAAAUCCAAGCCCAAAAGAAGACUUCCGUAGGGGACGACGAUGUGCAGUUUGUGGGUGUCGAGGCUAAGAACCAAAAUGCCGUAGACGAAGAUGUCGUCUACGUGGGACCAUCGACAGAUGCCGGUGGCCCCCAAAACAGCAACAGCAGCAAGUCAAAGAAGCCUCGCCCAUUGGAAGAUGACCAUGCUAGCAGCAUUGAGUUGGCCAUUGCCAAUGCCCUCAAGAAGAAGGGCAUAGAGCCCCCAAUGCCCCGCAUGCGUUCGUCUAACCAGGAUACGAGCGAUCAGUCUUUGGAGGGAUGCGGGGAGGGACUGGCUACCGCCAAUCCCCUUCUGCAGUCAACUCGCAGCAGCAGACGAAGGAAACGCAAGAAAGAACGUGAGCGCGAGCAGAAGAAAGACAAGGAGCACCAGAACCGUUCCCGACGUGACGAGAACGACGUGUCUGUAGUGCCGGGCGGCGUUGAGGACAUGGACGAAUAUGAGAUGAUGAACGUACGUGGCGGCAGCCCGCCAUCAGGAGCAGCGGCACCACCACUGUCCAGCUGCGGUCAGCGGUUUGGUGGUGCCGAUUGGGACAUGGACGACGGGUCAGCCGCAACCGGAGCAGCUGGUCUUGGAACGGGCGGCGGAGGGGGUUACAACUCACACAGCAGCUAUGAUUCAUACUCCGAUGAGGAGCCAAAUGGGCCCGGGCUAAUGAAUCAACGCCGCCGGACUCGAGGAGAUAAGGAAAGGGAGCACCAGCGUGGCGUGAAUAAUCGCAAGCGCAGGGAUCGCGAUCGCCUUGACGGCGGCUUAGCUGGAAGCGGCUCCAAGCGAAAUCGCCGCGAUUCUGGCGAAGGAGGCGGCGGUGGACAGGAAAAGAUGGGCGGCAGCAAUCGCGUUGAGCCCCGCAAGCUGGAGCUGUGCAAGUUCUAUCUAAUGGACUGCUGUGCCAAGCGGGACAAGUGCUCCUACAUGCACAAGGAGUUCCCCUGCAAGUACUACUACUUGGGGAUGGAUUGCUAUGCUGGCGACGACUGCCUCUUCUACCACGGCGAACCGCUGUCCGAGCAGCUCCGCAACGUUCUGCUGAAACACAUGGAGACGGCUCCGAAGGAGAUCCUUGGUGAUUUCAAGCGAAUAUCCAGAGACAAUGCCCUGGUGCAGAUGACACGGCGGCACGAACAGCUGUGCGAGCAAUUGAAUCGGGAGAACACGUGGAAUUCGAUUGGCUGCGGCUUAAUAAGCAGGCGGCAGGACCAGCAAAUGCAGCAACAGCAGCAACAGCUUCACUAUCAACAGCAACAGCAGCAGCAGGAGCAACAGCAGGCGGCUGCGGAUGGCGGCGGCUGCAUUCCCUCUCUUUUGGACAUGGUCAUCAAUCCACCACUUUCAGAAAAUAAGCGCAAGUCCCGCUGGACCGAAAAGAUGGGGGCCAAGGCAACAGCUGGAGCAGCAGCUUCUUUAGAAAGGGAUAGCACAUCGCCGGACGACAAGCCACUACCACCACACUUGGACUUAGCUAAUCUCAGUCACGUCUUAAGUGCUGAAAACAUGGCCAAGCUGAAUAAGUUGGGCAUUACGAAUCUGGAGCAGAUGCUUCAAGUGCCGUUUGGCCAGUUGACCGAGGCUGGCCUAACUCUGGUCGAGAUCGGUGAGAUUCAGCGCAAGGCCGAGGACGCCAAGCUGCAAACCCAAGCCGAAGUGGAAAACAGCACUUCUCCUACAAAGCGGGAAACGGAGGCCAACAAUAGUAACUCGAACAGCAACGGACUUAUCAUGGUGGACUACACGCAGUACCUCAAGGAUGCACAUGUCAACUUUUCGGGUAGCGAUCCGCUGGACGACGAUCGGGAUGACGACGAACAACUGAUCAUAGACGAUGGCAACGAUUCCACCGCCGAAGAGGAGCAGCAACCUAAGCCAGCCAAGGCACCGCCAGCCGCCACCCAUGAAUCAGGCACAGAGGAGGCACCCUUGCCUUCUGUUUUCGACUUGCCGAGUUUCAUGAACAACAUGCUGGGUCAGGGAUCCUCAGCAAGGCUGUUGCUGCCCGCCAGUGCCACGUCGCCCAAUCAGGAGAAUGCGCAUUUGCCUGGAGGAGAUCAAUCGACACAUAAAUCAGCGCCCAUCGGCGGAGGCACCCCAACCAACGUGCUCGGCCGGAUUCUGUUCGGCGACAAACAAUCUGACCCGGAGGCUAGAGCAGCUUUCUAUCGCGACAUCAUACGAAAUCCCUUCAAGGCUCACAGUGGCGAUGGCGACGUGGACUCCAGCAAUGAGAACUCCAAUUCCAAUUCACAUUCGCUGACGCCAACUCCCACGCCAGAACCGGGAUCCCAAUCCCCCAAGCCGGAGGACCACGAUCAGGAGAUGCCAGAACUGCCUGUCAUUACACCAGCGUUGCCGCCGACAACUCCUUCGCUCUAUGUACGUCGUUCCAUGUAUGACUUCGAUCCCGUCAAAGAGCAAGAGCACGGGCGACAGGAGCUCCUUACGGAGGAGAAGGAACGUGAUACGGACAUGCGACUGCCGUUCGUGCCUAUGAAACACUAUAUGCCUGCCACCGAGAUCGACGCGGCGAUCUUCUCGCACACUCCGAUCCGCUGGCAGCUGCAGGAAGUAAUCAUAGAGGAUAGCAGUUAUACACAGAUUAGGGCCAGUGCUCUACACAAGGAGCAGCGGGAUCUACGCGAUCCCCGAAUGCGUCGGAUUCUCGGCCUUCCGGAAACGCCUGAUAACAGUGCACCCUUGGGCUCCGUGCCCAUUAUGGCCCCAAGCUCCUUUUCGGGCGACAACAGUGCGCGUUGCGCCACGACCAUCGCUUCCCCGGAUUGGGAGACUCCGGUUCGUGAUUCCACCCCCAGUUCACCGCCCCCGUCCUUGGUUACCCUACCGUCGAUGAGUGUGCCACCGCCGUCGAUGAGGGUACCGCCUCCGAACAUACAGGUAGAAAAGCCAGCUGUGCGGACAGAUCCACGUCGCGAUCCCAGGAGAGCCGUUCUGCAGGCUCAAACUAAAGCUGCUAAUACGGCAAACACCACAGCACCCAAUGCCUCUGGUGGCAACAAGCAAAUCUCCGAAAUCCGAAGCCUGCUGCAGGUUUCCAGCUGGUACAACAACCUCGGCACCAACAAUAAGAUUAUGGUGAACCAACAGCUCGCCCUGGUCUUUACCGAGCUCAAGAAGUUCCAUCAGCUGCCAAAUGAUGCUCCGAAAAUUUUCGAUGUCAGCUUUAUAGUUAACAACACAACGUUGCAGCAGAUCUUCGCCAAGCUUUUUAUCUUUGUAGAUGACAAUGGCGAGGUGGUGCAGAUUCCCGAGGAGCCCAACGGUAAUGGUGCUGCUCUUGGUGGCGGCGGAGAUUCUGGAGGCGGAGGAGGAGGAGUAGGAGGAGGAGGAGUAGUGCUUCCCAAUCUAUCGCAACCCCCACCAAAUCUGAGCCAAAUGUUAAGGCUACCGCCACCGAACAUACGAAUGCUUCGCAUGUCGGGAAUGAUGAUGCAAAUGGGCAACGUGGGACCCCCUUUUAAUCAGCCACCGCCACGAGGAGGACUGAUGGGAAUGCCUCCGAAUGGCAAUGGAUUAAACCAGGGCGUUGGCAAUAUGGGAGGACUUGGCCAGUUGGGGAUAAACCAAGGAGGAGGACCUGUGCCCAAUGGCAAUCCCUUCAACCCAUUUGGUGGGAACAAUGGGGGAGGAGCUGGCGUCAUGAACAACAUGAAUUCAAUGGGCAACAUGGGCAUGGGCUUCAAUAGCUUCAACAAUAAUGGCGGCAGAGGAGGGCACUUUCCGGGCGGAGGAUCAGGCGGAAACGGCAACGGAAACAAUCGCAACCAGCGAGGCGGCAACCACCGGAACCGCAACAUUUAAAGGCCAAUGCGUUGCGAAAAGGAACGCAAAAGGAGCUCCUUUGCCCCAAUGAUCUUAAAGCGAUGCUAUGCCCCAUGACCCUUCCCCCCAACCAUACCAUACGUCGUGGAAAACUUGUGGUUUUCCGCGGACCUUCCCCGAAAAUCCAGGUGUAAGGAUCUUAUUAGCUAUACGAAUAGUAAAGAGUAAAUAACAAAACAAUCCGGAGUAAGAACGGAAAGUGAAGCAGAACCGGUGUACGCAGCCCUUUUUAACAAACUUUUUUAAAUUAUGUAGGAUAAUCUGUUCAAUAGCCCGAGUACUACAUUGAUUAACUAGACGUACGAACUCAAAAUAAAUGACAACUUUUAAGUAA